rnacentral:rRNA from 1 species
GAUGAACGCUGGCGGCGUGCCUAAUACAUGCAAGUCGAGCGAAUGGAUUGAGAGCUUGCUCUUAUGAAGUUAGCGGCGGACGGGUGAGUAACACGUGGGUAACCUGCCCAUAAGACUGGGAUAACUCCGGGAAACCGGGGCUAAUACCGGAUAACAUUUUGAACCGCAUGGUUCGAAAUUGAAAGGCGGCUUCGGCUGUCACUUAUGGAUGGACCGGCGUCGCAUUAGUUAGUUGGUGAGGUAACGGCUCACCAAGGCAACGAUGCGUAGCCGACCUGAGAGGGUGAUCGGCCACACUGGGACUGAGACACGGCCCAGACUCCUACGGGAGGCAGCAGUAGGGAAUCUUCCGCAAUGGACGAAGUCUGACGGAGCAACGCCGCGUGAGUGAUGAAGGCUUUCGGGUCGUAAAACUCUGUUGUUAGGGAAGAACAAGUGCUAGUUGAAUAAGCUGGCACCUUGACGGUACCUAACCAGAAAGCCACGGCUAACUACGUGCCAGCAGCCGCAGUAA